AGUCGGAUCGCAGAGGUAUCCUGCCCUGCAGUUCCUCCUCGGCGGAAACCAAGACCCUAGCUCUCGUCGUCGUCGGCGUCGGCGGCGGCGACCGUGGCGGAUCCGACAGCCAGCCCUCGUCGCAGCCGGGCCGCCAUUGCCGUCGUCCAGCUCCCAAGACGGCGUACCUCCUUAUGUUCUCCAGAUCCGGAACCGUGCGGAUGGUGUUCGGGGUUCGGCGACCGGAAAGAAAAACGUUUUGGCCCGGUCUUGACAUAAGGUUGGAGAGUUGGAAUGACUACUCAAGACGUCGGUUAGCAAUGGACUGUUCGGUUAGCACUGGAUUAAAAAGGAUUGAAGGAAAUUAAAUUACUAACAAAAUAAAUUUCUUGUUAGUAAAAAAUAAUUAGAAGAGGAUUUAAUCACUUACCUUAAUCCUCUUCGAUCUAAGAAUUUACUGUCCAUGAUCUUCACGCGAUGCUUGUGUUGAUGCCCUCAGUCUCAGCUACGUACUUCCCUUAUUCUUUGACCAAGCCUACUGAGGAGAGGAAAGAGCAUGAUCGCAAGAGCCCGGUGACAGCAUUGGAGGUCUAUCCCAGCAAAA